GCUGGGCGUGGUAGUGCGUGCCUGUAAUCCCAGUUACUAGGGAGGCUGAGGCAGGAGAAUCACUUGAACCCAGGAGACGGAGGUUGCAGUGAGCUGAGAUCCUACCACUGCACUCCAGCAUGGGUGACAGAGUGAGACUCUGUCUCAA
rnacentral:SRP_RNA from 2 species